CUCGUGAAAGCUGGGAUCCAACUUAAGGUUAGAUCCCUUACUAUGCCUAACCUAACACACAAUAAAUUACCAAUUGUUCGCCAAACAACUUCGGGUAAAAACUUAAAACUUAAAAGGCUUGGCGGUCCUUCACACCACCCUAGAGGAGCCUGUCUAAUAACCGAUACCCCACGAAUAACCCCACCCCCCCUGGCCCCCCAGUCUAUAUACCGCCAUCGCCAGCUUACCUUGUGAAAGAAACAAAGGCGAGCCCUAAAGACAACAGCCACCAUGAAUACAAUGGGUCAGGGGUAACUUAUGGGCGGGGAAAGAAAUGGGUACAAUUUUUAACUACAGAAAAUAGCAAAUAACUAUAAAGAUUAAACCGAAGGCGGAUUUAGCAGUAUGUUAGGGAACAUAUACUUAACAGAAAUUAAUGCAAUGAAGUGCGUACACACCGCCCGUCAUCCCUGCCAAAAAACCACAACCUUCCAUAAAUCACAUUAACCAUAAAACAGGGCAAGUCGUAACAUGGUAAGCGUACUGGAAAGUGCGCUUAGAAACAAAAAGUAGCUUACCUUAAAGCAUUCGACCUACACUCGAACGACAUUACACUUAAUCUUUUUGAGCUGACCAAUGAACACACAAAAAUCUAUUAAUUACCAAACAAACCAUUUGACCAACCAAGUAGAUGCGAUCGAACAGCAAACACGAACACCAA
rnacentral:rRNA from 1 species